rnacentral:lncRNA from 1 species
GCAUAUUCUGCCUAUUGUGAUGGUGCCACAUAAUACAAUGCUGUAUAAAGACUGGAUUGCAAUUAAGAUAGGAACGUAUUUAAGGUUAAGGACUUGGAGACCGCUUUUGCAGCAGAAACAGCUCUCAGAGUGAUUGUGCCUGUCUUAGGUGUUUUAUAUAAUAAAUCAAGUUUGUUAUGUACCUAAAGUUGUGCAGUUCUAGUGGCAAAUGUUUUCUGUGUAGACGGCUUGUGCCAGCAAAGGGAAGUCUUGUGCUAUAGUUUAUACCAUUUCUUCCUAGAAAAUAAACAAUAGUCACAAAAGUAUUUUUUUUCUUUCAGACACAACUAUAUAAAGCACUGGUUCAGUGCUUUAAUAAUCUUCGGCAAGUUACAGUAUGGUGCGGAAUGACUUUUGGUCUCCUAGAGCUGGUUGAGAAUUAAAUGUACCGCCCACAGAAACCUAAAAUCCCAGGAACAUGGACUGUUUUUACCGACACAAUUGCUAAGAAAGAUUUCUCUUCUGUGGCUGAGAUUUCCAUGUUAGAAAACUCCCUUUUACCUGGACUCAUGGUUCUGCUCUUAAAAGAAUUGGGAUGUGAGAAAGGAUAGUGAGCAUUGUUCCUGUGGAAGCUCCAUAUCAGACCUGGAGGUUCAGAAGAAGAAAUUAUUCCUUCGCAUUUGGAAACAAUAUCAGAAUUGAUUUCUUGGUGCAUCAGAAGCUCCAGAUGUGUCAGAGAGAUGGUGGAAGAAUAUGCCUUGGGCAAGGCAAAAACUUGCUUCUGGGCUCCGUGAUCGGUCCUUCCCCCAUACAGAACAACUGAGAGCUUGUUUUCCGUGUGCAUCUGUGACAGAAAAAAACUUCACGUUUGCCACGAAAAAUGGAUCAACAUCUGGAGAAAAGAAAACAUUAAAAAGUUUUGGUGACUGAUGAACGAAACAUCAUGAAAAAAAUGUAACUGAACCAUCAGCCUCCCAGCUCAGGCUGCUGAAUGCUACGCUGGAGAAGAAUACAGUGGUGAGGAACAGUGUAUUCGAAAUAUAAACAUCUAAAGUUUGCCAUUAUAUUUUUGGGGGCUGCAAGAGAAUAAUCACUAGCUUAUAAAUAACAAUUGCAAGGUUCAUGAACAAUGGACUUUUUAAUAUAGAAAAUCUAUCACAAAAAGCUGUUCAGUAGAAAUAUACAAUCUAUAUGUGACAAAAGGUGUGUAAAUGCGUAAUUAAGAAUCCUAACAAAUAAAUCCCUUCUGAAUUAAAAAAAAAAAAGAUAG